CAAUAGCGUAUAUUUAAGUUGUUGCAGUUAAAAAGCUCGUAGUUGGAUUUCGGAUGGGAUUUGCCGGUCCGUCGUUACGAUGUGCACUGGCCAGUCCUAUCUUGUUGUCGGGGACUAGCUCCUUGGAUUCACUUCCUGGGACUAGGAGCUGACGAGGUUACUUUGAGUAAAUUAGAGUGUUCAAAGCAAGCCUACGCUCUGAAUACAUUAGCAUGGAAUAACACGAUAGGACUCUGGCUUAUCUUGUUGGUCUGUGAGACCAGAGUAAUGAUUAAGAGGGACAGUCGGGGACAUUCGUAGUUCAUUGUCAGAGGUGAAAUUCUUGGAUUUAUGAAAGACGAACUUCUGCGAAAGCAUUUGUCAAGGAUGUUUUCAUUAA
rnacentral:rRNA from 1 species